CCGGGUGAGUAACACGUGACUAACCUACCUUCGAGUGGGGGAUAACAUCGGGAAACCGAUGCUAAUACCGCAUAACAUCGCAAGAUCAAAGCAGCAAUGCGCUGGAAGAGAGGGUCGCGGCUGAUUAGCUAGUUGGCGGGGUAACGGCCCACCAAGGCGAAGAUCGGUAUCCGGCCUGAGAGGGCGCACGGACACACUGGAACUGAAACACGGUCCAGACUCCUACGGGAGGCAGCAGUGGGGAAUUUUGCGCAAUGGGGGAAACCCUGACGCAGCAACGCCGCGUGGAGGAUGAAGCCCCUUGGGGCGUAAACUCCUUUCGACCAAGACGAUAAUGACGGUACUGGUGGAAGAAGCACCGGCUAACUCUGUGCCAGCAGCCGCGG
rnacentral:rRNA from 1 species